GGCUCGGUAGCUUAGUUGGUAGAGCUUUUGUCUAGCGGAUAAGGGUCGUGAGUUCAAAUCUCACCAGAGCUG
rnacentral:tRNA from 1 species